AUUUCUUCCGUUGUCACUGUGUGUGAGCAUGCGUAGCGUCAGGAAGGAGCGAGCAAGCAUUAGGAGCCCUUGACAGAAGCCUCUUUGCCCUCCCAGGUCUGGUGAAGGGUGGGGGAGCCUUGCAGGAAAUGAGGACAUGAUCAAAGGUGGACAAUUAUGCAAAUAGGAGUCGAAGUGCUGGAUCACAUGGAAGGUUUAUGUUCACCUUUUCCAGGAACUGCCCAACUGGUUUCCACAGGGGCUGCACCAUUUUACAUUCCAUUAGCAAUGCAAGAGGGUUCCAUUUUCUCCACAUGCUCAUCAACAGUUGAAACCUCUUCAAUUUACCAUGGGAUGCAGAGAAUAAACACAUGAGCCCUUGGGCAGCUUGCCACGCAUCCUGAGACUUUCUGCAAGGGCCUUGUCCUCCGGAUUGAGUGCCUGACCAGACUUCAUGCUGAGGCCUUCAUUGAGAUGCGUAAGGAGGGUGGCUGUAAAGGGGCCCAGAGUGCUUCUAGAAAACAACAAUGAACAAACUAUGGUGAAGGAUGCUUCUCCUUUUCCUGGGAAACUUCACCCAAAGCCAUUUUAAAUCCUCUACAGCUAACUUAUCAAUGUGAUGGAAAAUUCUAUUUUAUUGUUAUUACUAUUAA